CCUACGGGUGGCAGCAGUGAGGAAUAUUGGUCAAUGGCCGGAAGGCUGAACCAGCCAAGCCGCGUGAAGGACGAAGGUGCCAAGCAUUGUAAACUUCUUUUGUCAAGGGACAAAAUCAGGCUCGAGAGCCUGACCGAGGGUACUUGAAGAAAAAGCAUCGGCUAACUCCGUGCCAGCAGCCGCGGGAAUACGGAGGAUGCGAGAGUUAUCCGGGUUUAUGGGGUUUAAAGGGUGCGUAGGCGGACUGUUCAGUAAGAGGUAAAAGCCCGGGGCUCAACCCCGGCGAGCCGUUGAAACUGGCUGUCUUGAGAUGUCGAGAGGUAUGCGGAAUGCGCAGUGUAGCGGUGAAAUGCUUAGAUAUUGCGCAGAACUCCGAUUGCGAAGGCAGCAUACCGGCGGCGAUCUGACGCUGAGGCACGAAAGCGUGGGUAUCGAACAGGAUUAGAUACCCUUGUAGUC
rnacentral:rRNA from 1 species